CUCCUGGAGUCCCUAGUGCGCCAGGAGCCUCGCUCCGUUCUGAUUCGUAUGGGCUCCGCAGAGUUCCGCUUGCGUCAGGGGCCUUCGCCCCUAUAGCGGGGCAGCCAGCAGCGCACGGGCGAGUUCAUCUCUAAGUCUCUCUCUUUUUUUAAACGGCCGGCAGAACUUGGACCGGCCUUCCCGAGCCUCCGGGGCCCCGCCAACAGCCUGGCUCACGCUCUUACGAGUCCUGAAAAUCAGCGGGUGCUUGCUUUGCUGAAAGGCCUUGGUUGGGGCUUGCUGCGCCCUGCCAGUGCCCCGGGAACGCUGACCCCAGCGAGGAGAGGUGAUCCAAGCCUCCGGGCAGCUUUCAGGUGAAAGAAAACAAACCCCUUUGCUCUGUGCUUCGGGCUGUGCUGGGGCUAGACUUCCAGCUUUGAGGCUUAGGGAGGGGCGAGAUGGCAAGGGGGCCGGACCGGGGUGGAGUGGCCGAACUUUGCAGCAGCUGGAGGUAAACCAGCUCAGAGCUCGUGUCACGAAAGGCAGAAGCUUCGGCCUGUUCCGUUGAGCUCUCUGAGCCCGACUGAGGCUGGGGAGAGGAUCGCCCGGAAGAGACACCCAGGAGUAGGCUCACUGGUAUCGGACAUCUCACUUCUCUGUGCUGCGGUGGGUGUAGGGACCAGCUUUCUCUUUGGAACUUGCCUUGCAAUCCCACAAUUUGGGUGUGUGUUUUAAAGAUCAAGUGGUAUCCCUUGUAUUCUUGAGGAUGUUGCUGAGGGUCUUUGGGGACUGUUGCGUGCACAAGUGUCACGCGUGGAAGGCAUGGGACAAAAAUCUGUUCUUAGGAUACACGUGAUACUGAGCAAGGGUGCUGUUCAGAAACCCAGCCUUUACCUGCAUCUUCCCCUUCCAGCGUAGAUAAUAGCUGAAGUCUGGUGGGGAUCCAGUUACAUCUCCGAAAAUAGAAAACGGACUUAGAGGAAUUCCUUCCGCACCAGCACAACAUCAGGUUGCUUGGACUUUAAGAGUUCUCCAGAAUCCCAGGAGCCCACACUGGACAGUGGCUCCAGCAUUCUGAAGACCACUUAUCUACAGUGUGUGCUUCCCACUCUGAGAUGUAGGGAAAGGAGGACAAGAGUGUGUGUGUGUGUGUGUGUGUGUGUGCGUGUGUGUGUGUGUGUGUGUGUGUGUAAUCCAACAUCUCAAAGAUGACUCCAGAGAGGUUAACCUGGCAAACCCGGCCUAACCACCAGGAUCCGAGGGAGGAUCAGUAUCCCAAUCCCAGGUGGAGAAAGGGUGCCUUUUGUGCGCACAAAGGCUGGGAAACACAACUUCAGGGCUCCCCGAGGGAUCACCUUCCAGACCGCGCGUCUGGCCCUGGGUAAGCGCCAGAGCUAAGAAGACUGGGACGAAGGUGCUUGCCUGUUGGGCGGUACAGCAGUAGGUGGAUAGAGCAGGCGCUCUAGGAAGUGGCCGGGUGGACUUUGAUUUACUUCUCACUCCGACCCAGUCCCCUUAGGCAGGCUGGGUAGGGCCCCAGGUCUUGACUAUAGUAGGAUUCUGUUCCUCUAGGUCUGUUUUGCAGAAGUUGUGCGGCCCGUACAACUUUUCACCCGUUUCAUUCUGGCAAGGCUAGGCACUUAAUGGCAGAGUCCUCGGUCCUGAGCCAGGAGGAGCUCUGUGUUUCUCUGGCCGGGGUUUUCAGGAACCCUCGGCGCCUCCAGCUCCUUGUGCCUCUAGAGAAAUGCCUGCCCAUGCCUUACCGGGGAGCCACGGACAGAGCAGCCUCUCAGCAAGCUGGUCUAACGCUCCGAAGUCUAGACCGCCGCCUAAGUCAGCAAGUCGCUGAUCCCUGAUGAAGAUGCUUUUCUCCCGGGCCGAGCUUCCUGCAGCUGCCGCAGAAACACCGCGGACCGCCAGUACCUUUUGGCUCCGGUGUUUUGAUUGGUGGAAUGAAAGAUCAGUGACCUGUCUGAACAGAAAGGGUACCAUUGUAUGGACAUGGAAACUCAAGUCCAGAGACAUACGUGGUCAUGUAUGAUGACGAGGUCCCACUGUAUAGUCCUUGCUGGCCUGGAACUCUCUUUGUAGACCAGGUUGGCCUUGGCUGAGAUCUGCCUGUUGGGCACUGGUAUUAAAGGCUGACAGAACCCUGUAUUUUAUGCCUAUCCAAGCGUGAAGGCCAGUUUUCUCCCGCACACUGCCACUUUCCUAGUUACAGAGUAGCAACUAGUGCUGCAAGCUAGGCACCAUAGAACUCCUUCUAUAACAGCCUCUCCAACCCGCAGGGUACCUCUCUUAGCUCAGGCUACCUUGGAGCUUGAGCUACUCCUCCUUCAGACUCUCAGAUUUCAGGUAUGCGUUGUGAGGCCCCAUCUCAAUGCAUUUUCUUUAUAGAGCUGAGAGGGACUGUGUUCGUUCAUCUUCACUGUCAACUUGAUUGAAUUUGGAAUCACGUAGAAAACACACUUGUGAGCAUAUUUGUGCAUGAGGGCAUCCCACGGACUGGGGGGCCCUAGACUGAAUACAAAGAAGGGAGGAAGUUGCAGAUUGAGCAUCAGCAGAUCGAGCACCAGCGUUUAUCUUACUGCUUCCUGACUGUGGACACAAUGUGACCAUCUGCCUCAGGCUUCUAACUGUCAUGCUCUCCCUACCAUGCUGGACUCCUUACCCUGAAUCUGCAAGCCCAAAUGGAUUUUGUCAUUAUAUAUAUUUGUUUUGUUUUGAUUUGAUUUGUGCAUGUGCGUGCCCACUCAGUGGUAUAUGUAUUUGUCUCUCUAUGUGUAUGUGUGUGCAUGUGGUGUGUGCCAUUGUGUGUGAGGGUGCCUGAGGAUUCCAAUUAGAGUACCAGACAGUUAUGAACUUCCCAGUGUGGGUGCUGGGAACCGAACUUGGGUCCUCUGGAAGAGCAGGAAAUUCUCUUACUCCC
rnacentral:lncRNA from 1 species